GUGAGGAAUAUUGGUCAAUGGACGGAAGUCUGAACCAGCCAUGCCGCGUGAAGGAUGAAGGCGUUCUGCGUUGUAAACUUCUUUUAUUUAGGAAGAAACCACCGAUUUCUAUUGGUGUUGACGGUAUUAAAUGAAUAAGCACCGGCUAACUCCGUGCCAGCAGCCGCGGUAAUACGGAGGGUGCGAGCGUUAUCCGGAUUUACUGGGUUUAAAGGGUGCGCAGGCGGUCUUAUAAGUCCGGGGUGAAAUACUACAGCUCAACUGUAGAACUGCCUUGGAUACUAUAGGACUUGAAUCGAGUAUAGGUCAGCGGAAUACAACAUGUAGCGGUGAAAUGCAUAGAUAUGUUGUGGAACACCGAUUGCGAAGGCAGCUGACUGGGCUUGAAUUGACGCUCAGGCACGAAAGCGUGGGUAGCGAACAGGAUUAGAAACCCUGGUAGUCC
rnacentral:rRNA from 1 species